rnacentral:rRNA from 1 species
UACGUAGGGGGCAAGCGUUGUCCGGAUUUAUUGGGCGUAAAGAGCGUGUAGGCGGCCGUACAGGUCAGCUGUGAAAACUCGAGGCUUAACCUCGAGCUGUCGGCGGAAACCAUCUGGCUAGAGUCCGGAAGAGGAGAAUGGAAUUCCCGGUGUAGCGGUGAAAUGCGCAGAUAUCAGGAGGAACACCGGUGGCGAAGGCGGUUCUCUGGGCCUGUACUGACGCUGAGGAACGAAAGCGUGGGGAGCGAACAGG